UCACUUUCAACAACGGAUCUCUUGGCUCUCGCAUCGAUGAAGAACGUAGCGAAGUGCGAUAAGUAGUGUGAAUUGCAGAAUUCCGUGAAUCAUCGAAUCUUUGAACGCAAAUUGCACUCUCUGGUAUUCCGGAGAGUAUGCCUGUUUGAGGGUCGGUUUAAAUAAUUAAUCGGUAUGUCGCC
rnacentral:rRNA from 1 species